rnacentral:rRNA from 1 species
GUGGCAGCAGCCGCGGUAACACCAGCGCCACAAGUGGCAACCGCUUUUAUUGGGCCUAAAGCGUCCGUAGCCGGUUCAGUAAAUUUCCUGUGAAAUCGUUGAGCUUAACUUAACGUUGUGCAGGAAAGACUGCUGAACUUGGGACCGGGAGGCGUCAGAGGUAUUCUUGAGGGAGCGGUAAAAUGCUAUAAUCUCAGGAGGACCACCGAUGGCGAAGGCAUCUGACGAGAACGGAUCCGACGGUGAGGGACGAAAGCUAGGGGAGCAAACCGGAUUAGAUACCCGAGUAGUCCUAGCUGUAAACUCUGCGAGCUAGGUGUUACGUAUUCUUCGGGAAUACGUAGUGUCGAAGCGAAGGUGUUAAGCUCGCCGCCUGGGAAUUAUGGUCGCAAGACUGAAACUUAAAGGAAUUGGCGGGGGAGCACUACAAGGGGUGCGGCGUGCGGUUUAAUCUAAUUCAACACAGAGAAUCUCACCAGAAGCGACGGCAGGAUGAAGGUCAGGUUAAAGGCCUUACCUAACGAGCCGAGAGGUAGUGCAUGGCCGUCGUCAGCUCGUGCCGUAAGGUGUCCUGUUAAGUCAGGCAACGAGCGAGACCUAUACUCACAAUUGCUAACAAGCUCUGCGAUUGAGCACAUUGUGAGAACUGCCCUUGAAAAGGGGAGGAAGGUGUAGGCUACGAUAGGUCUGUAUGCUCCGAAUCUUCCGGGCUACACGCGCGCAACAAUGGUAAGGACAAUAGGAUGCAACUCCGAGAGAAGAAGCCAAUCCCCGAAACCUUAUCUUAGUUCAGAUCGAGGUUUGUAACUCAACCUCGUGACGCUGGAAUCCCUAGUAAUCAGGUAUUAUCAGUGCCUGGUGAACAUGUCCCUGCUCCUUGCACACACCGCCCGUC